GGUGGGCUGGACUGGGCCGGGCCGGGCCGCUGGCGCGGAGGUAAACAGACGGGCCGUCUUCGCUCUACGUGCCCCAGCAUUAGAGGGCGAAGUGACCAAACUCUUUGUGAGUGUUUACUGCGUACCUACUACGUGCAAGGUACUGGACAACCUAGAGGAAUAGGCCUUUGUCCCCGCCUCCGAGGAACUAGGAGGCUGGACCUGAAGAUACAUGAGCUAGAAAGCAGCAGCCAUCGAACAAGGCAAACGCGUUAAAGGUCAAGUGCUAAGGAAGGCUUCUAAAUGAGGUUGCCACUGGUGACCUUUCAGCUAAAUGAGAAGGAGCCCCUGAAACCAGAGGAGGUGAGGGGAUGGCUGUGCCUGCGGAGGGAACAGAAUGAGCAAAGACAGGGAAGAGGAGAGCACCUGGCUUGUUGCAGGAACUGGGACUAGGCCAGUUUGAGGGAAGUGUAGAAUUUGAGCAGGAAUGUACUGUGAGAUAAGUGGGAAACCUAGAUUGGUGCCUUCUUGGGCCCACUUGGACGAAAAGCAAGCUUAUUUUAUCCAUCAUGGCUUACUGAAUCCAAGAAGCCUUCUAGUGUUUAUGUGAAUUGUAUGUAGGUAUUUAUGAAAUUAGAGACGCAGGUCAACAUAUUUUUUCAAUGACUUAUUCACCAUUCCUGAUGAGAACCAAACGUUUGGCAGCCCUUUAUCCAUUAUUAUGUGCAUCCUCAAGCUUCAAGCACGAGGCAAAGACCACUUCAAAGACAUGGAUUUCAAGAGCUCGCCUUCAUAAUUAUCCUGAACACUAAAGUCUGUCUCAGAGUCUGCUUCCUGGAAAACCCAAACUGCCAAGUUGGAGCCAGGAGAGAUCGAGAAAGCAGAUGAUAAGACGGGGUUUUGAAACUAGAUCACUACCCGGCUGGUAUGAGGACCUCAUCACUGGUGAUGGAUGGAGCACAGAUAGCCCCUGGCAUAAGUUGCAAUAGUAAAUGGAUAAUGCAGCAAGGACAUGGCGACCAGGAACCCAGACCUCUCUGGGAUGUGAAUCUAGAUUGUGACCCCAGGUGUCGAUCCCAAAGGCACUCCCUGGUAAACAUCCUGGACACUAAACUCUGACUCAGAGUCUUCUUCCUGCAGAGCCUGAACUGUGAAAAUGCCCUGUCAUCACAAA